rnacentral:rRNA from 1 species
AACGAACGCUGGCGGCAGGCUUAACACAUGCAAGUCGAACGCAUCCAUCGGGGUGAGUGGCAGACGGGUGAGUAACGCGAGGGAACGUGCCCUUCAGUUCGGGAUAACCCAGGGAAACUUGGGCUAAUACCGGAUACGUGCGAGAGCAGAAAGAUUUAUCGCUGAAGGAUCGGCCCGCGUCUGAUGAGCUAGUUGGUGGGGUAAUGGCCCACCAAGGCGACGAUCAGUAGCUGGUCUGAGAGGAUGAUCAGCCACAUUGGGACUGAGACACGGCCCAAACUCCUACGGGAGGCAGCAGUGGGGAAUAUUGGACAAUGGGCGCAAGCCUGAUCCAGCCAUGCCGCGUGAGUGAUGAAGGCCUUAGGGUUGUAAAGCUCUUUCGUCCGGGACGAUAAUGACGGUACCGGAAGAAGAAGCCCCGGCUAACUUCGUGCCAGCCGCCGCGGUAA